CAGUCUAUGGUGCGAUAUUGAGACAGACGGCUAAUUCUAUGAAUGUGAUGAUAAUCAUUUAAUUUGAUGUAAUAGUCUUCAUUUCACCCGGUUUAUGUAACGUAUGUUUUACGGUUAGGGUUCAAAGAUUGUGUGAAAUUGCACGUCAGGGGUGUUACGAGUUCUCUGUAAAACAGAAUUCGGAGAUCUUUCUUCACGCCAUCGCUCCCACGUCCCGAGGCAGAUGCCUUCACCUCAAUGGCGUGGCGUCCCAAAGCUAUUGGGACGAUGACAAAAGGGGGUCGCAGAGGGAGAGGAGCGGUAAUGAGACGACUACAGCCGCCAGCCACACAGAGUCCACGCGCAUCUUUGCCCGUCUGUCUCUGACUCUGAACUAUCAGACGCUCAUUCACAAUGUAUUCAGCCCUGCU